UGUGAUUUACUUGAAGCUACGCCUGUUUUCCAUGUUUUAUGUAUUAAAUCCUUUAUUUAAUGAUGUAUGGUGUUUUCUCUUCUAAUAGUUCAGAAGUGGGAUACGUAAUUUACGUCCACAAUAUAUUCUGAAAGGCAAAAAGCCAGUAAUUCAUCCGCUUAUUGUUGCUAACCAAAUGAACGCCGGUUCAAGUGAUUUUACUAUUAUAUUCGCACCAUUCAUCAUUGAAUAAUAUAAACAAAUCUUUGGUGAAGCCUUGUUAAGGCAUAUUUGAUGAAGAAAGUUAUUGAUGACGGUGUACGUACAUCACCGUAGUUCAUGGCGUCAUAACCACACUUGCCCAAUAUGAGAAGAAACAAGAAUAGUUCGAAUACGACAUUUGGUAAGCUAUAUCGUGUCGUUUCAAUUGUUGGAACGAUGUCCAAGCCACGUAAGUUAUAAAAAUGAUCUAUGGGUAAGUAAUCCAAAAACUAUGUGCCAUAGUAUCAAAUCUUGAAUAUCAUUAUACAAUCAAGGAAAAUCUGUGAAAGGUUGUCGUAUCCACUUACUUUUGCACAUAUGCAAACAAUUUACAGCCUAAAAUAUCAGCUAUAAUGGCAUACAAUCAUUCAUCAUAAUUAUUUAGUCUUAGAAUAUGCAAAGAAAGGCAAUAAUCAGAAUUACCAUUAUGAUUAUGAAUGCCAGCUAGACUACUGCAAUGACAUUAUAAUCACACCAUAAUAUUUAUUCUGGACCCCAAUUUUAUAAAAAAUCAUAUAACGGAGACAAUGUUCGUGAACAUGUCAAACAGUGUCGGUGAACGUUCAGCGCAGAAAGUUCUAUCAAGGUAUUUAUUAAAUUGCUUAUGAAAUUUAUCAGUCAUAGUGGUUUGGCUUAUGAUGUACUGUUGAGUUUAUGUUUAAACACUAAGCACCAGUUGCACCAUCCACACUUGACAGACUGAUCAAUGGCAAUCAGCUGUAUAUUAUGAAACUUCCCAUACAAUAAAAUUUAGCGAACGCUUUAAUGGUGACAGACUGUUUGGUGCAACCGGCCCUUAGUCUAUAAUUGAUGAUGGAUAAUAUUAGCAUUAGCAAUAAAAAUAAAUGGAUUAAGUAUUUUACAUAUUACCGACAUGAAAGAUUGGUUAUUUAACAUUGAGUAAUGCUUUAUGUUACUAAUAUUUUAAAACAUUCUAAGAUGAAAAGUACUAUAGUUUGAGAGUACUUAUGUGGUGUGUUAUUAUUAUUAUGCCUAUUUAUGCAAGAUCGACCAAGUUGCUUUCUUGGGUCGUUGUAUGACAUAGUGUUAUAAGGCUAUGUUAAAAUGAUCCCUUUGAGAAUGUUGUGUGAAGCGUAGCAUGACCACAUUACGGAAUGGUAAUAAUUGUCAUUUCAGAUAAAGUUGUUGCUUCAUUUAUAUUUUCACAGAAUAAAUGUGUUUUAUGCUGGAGGUAUAGUUUACCAGAACAAGCUUUAUGUCUGCAUACUCACAGAAGCCUUGCACUUGCAGAAUGAUUGCACACAAUUGAGUAAGUAAUACUGUCCUGUGUGAAAGGUUUGGUGGUAUAAGAAAUAUUAUCAGCAAUACAAAAUUGAACAAGGUAAGGCCAAAUUAAAUUGUUGUGUUAUGUGAGCGAUAUUCACAUAUCAUUUGUAGUUAUAGCAUGGUUAAAAUAAUAAAAAUAAUAACAAGUGAGUGGUCAGAUAUAUAAUUGACUUACACCAAAUUAUACUCAAAGCGACGAUUGAGGCAUGUUCCUAACAUAUUCAAAUUGUCAUGCACCUACACUAAAUAAUUAGUAUGUGUUAAUAUGUUUUAAAUAAAAUAGAACAGGUCAGCAUAGCCACUAAAUGCCUGUGAUGUCCAAAUGGAAAGGAUGAAGUGACAUGUGCCGUUAAUAAGGAGCAGUGCCUACUUUUAAUGUUGACUGUACUAUAACAGGCAGUCAGUUCAGUGAAUUAAUAAAUAAAAUAAAA